rnacentral:piRNA from 1 species
UACAUUGACUGAUUCACUUGGUUUGUCCC